rnacentral:rRNA from 1 species
CACGUAGGGUGCAAGCGUUGUCCGGAAUUAUUGGGCGUAAAGGGCUCGUAGGCGGUCCGUCACGUCGGGAGUGAAAACUCGGGGCUCAACCCCGAGCCUGCUUUCGAUACGGGCGGACUAGAGGUAGGUAGGGGAGAACGGAAUUCCUGGUGUAGCGGUGGAAUGCGCAGAUAUCAGGAGGAACACCGGUGGCGAAGGCGGCCCACUGGUCCGGUACUGACGCUGAGGUGCGAAAGCGUGGGGAGCAAACAGG